rnacentral:miRNA from 1 species
CGAUUCCCACCUUCGACAUUUAAC